UGCAAAUCGGCCUGAAACUUUUUUUAUGUGUAUGCGAAUAUCCAUGGAAAGUACAUAUGCCUCUCGGCAUAGACAGGUAAGA
rnacentral:sRNA from 1 species